rnacentral:misc_RNA from 1 species
GAGCGUCAUUUAAACCUUCAAGCUACGCUUGGUGUUGGGUGACUGUCCGCCUCACGGCGGACUCGCCUCAAAAUUAUUGGCGGCCGGUACAUUGGCUUCGAGCGCAGCAGAAACGCGAACUCGGGCCCGUCGUAUUGGCUCCCAGAAGCUAUCUUCACAAUUUUGACCUCGGAUCAGGUAGGGAUACCCGCUGAACUUAA